rnacentral:lncRNA from 1 species
AGAGGACCUGUCCAACCCACUGACAUUUGGGGUCUCAUUUAUGACUUUAAUGACCCUGCUGGUGGAUCUACCUGGAAGCAGACCUGCUAAUGAGCUCGGCAGUUGGCAUGGCACCAAAGGGAAGCCAGUCGGGCUGGCUCCCCUAGGGGAGGCAGGCUGGCUGGACUUUGCUGGCAAAAGGAGCUGUAUUUCCCAGGACUUGAUUCCCACUCCCAUCCGAAGUGUUUACUCCAAAGGCAAAAGGAUGACACUGGAGUCUGGAGGCAUCUAAGUAUCCAAACUGUCCUGGAUCCAGAAGGCAGAAGGCAGAGAUGGAUGAGAUGACUGCUAUUUCCUCCUUUCCAUACCAUGCAAGGUAAAAUGUGAUAAACAUUACUCCUCUGCUCAAGGAAUUUCACUGGCUCCCUAUAGCUCCUAGGACAAAGUCAAAAAUCCUUUCCUUCAUCUACUAUCAUCUAUUCUUCCAGGCAUAUUUCAUGCAGCUCCCCUUCACACAUUCUAUAAUCUAG